AUUGAACGCUGGCGGCAUGCCUUACACAUGCAAGUCGAACGGCAGCACGGGUGCUUGCACCUGGUGGCGAGUGGCGAACGGGUGAGUAAUACAUCGGAACAUGUCCUGUAGUGGGGGAUAGCCCGGCGCAAGCCGGAUUAAUACCGCAUACGAUCCACGGAUGAAAGCGGGGGACCUUCGGGCCUCGCGCUAUAGGGUUGGCCGAUGGCUGAUUAGCUAGUUGGUGGGGUAAAGGCCUACCAAGGCGACGAUCAGUAGCUGGUCUGAGAGGACGACCAGCCACACUGGGACUGAGACACGGCCCAGACUCCUACGGGAGGCAGCAGUGGGGAAUUUUGGACAAUGGGCGAAAGCCUGAUCCAGCAAUGCCGCGUGUGUGAAGAAGGCCUUCGGGUUGUAAAGCACUUUUGUCCGGAAAGAAAUCCUUGACUCUAAUACAGUCGGGGGAUGACGGUACCGGAAGAAUAAGCACCGGCUAACUACGUG
rnacentral:rRNA from 1 species